rnacentral:rRNA from 1 species
AAUUGGAGGGCAAGUCUGGUGCCAGCAGCCGCGGUAAUUCCAGCUCCAAUAGCGUAUAUUAAAGUUGUUGCAGUUAAAAAGCUCGUAGUUGAAUUUCGGGAUCAAUAUUUCGGUCAUGCCGAUGGUAUGCACUGUUAUAAUUGAUUUCUCACCUUCUAAAGAACCGUAAUGCCAUUAAUUUGGUGUUACGGGGAAUUAGGACUGUUACCUUGAAAAAAUUAGAGUGUUUAAAGCAGGCUCACGCUUGAAUACAUUAGCAUGGAAUAAUGAAAUAGGACAUCCGAUUCUAUUUUGUUGGUUUCUAGGAUCGAUGUAAUGAUUAAUAGGGAUAGUUGGGGGCAUUAGUAUUCAAUUGUCAGAGGUGAAAUUCUUGGAUUUAUUGAAGACUAACUACUGCGAAAGCAUUUGCCAAGGAUGUUUUCAUUAAUCAAGAACGAAAGUUAGGGGAUCGAAGACGAUCAGAUACCGUCGUAGUCUUAACCAUAAACUAUGCCGACUAGGGAUCGGAUGAUGUUAAUUUUUUAAUGACUCAUUCGGCGCCUUACGGGAAACCAAAGUGU